rnacentral:sRNA from 1 species
UCGACUCGAGCGAAGCGAGAGAACGUUGCGCCAGCAACGGCCCGCAGGGCGAGCCACGAAGUGGCGAGUAAUCCUCUGGCACCGACCA